UGCUUCUCCCUCCUGCCUUCUCUGUCCUGCCAGUUCAAGCGUCUAGACCUCCCCAAAUUUCCAUCUCUGUCUCUUGAACUCAGUGAGAUUACUGGGCUCUGCUUGGGUUUCCCUUUUUUGUCUCAGUCUGGAUUUUACCUGCAGGCAGAAAGCCUGGAAGAGGGAAGGACUCACCUCAUUUGUUCCCUCUUCUCCCGCACUGCCUGUUUCCCAAGGUCAGGACCCUAUCCAGGAUCAGUCAUCAUGUCUCCUUAGGCUCCUCUUGACUGUGGGAGUCCUCAGACUCUCCUUGUUUUUGAUGACCUUGACAGUCUUGAGGAGCACUUGUCAGGGUGCACUUCGAUGCUGGAGAGAGAAAAAGGAAGAGCAGCUCCUUCCUGUUCUUAUCAGCGUCACUCCAGCCUCAUUCAUCUCUGCAAUGGCUAUGUGCUCCUAUGGCUGCAGCUGAAUCAGUUGCUGCUGCCAACAUGCCCGGACCAGCUUCUUUUCGCCGUCAGACACCUGCACCAGAGAACAGAAACAUGGAAAAUGUCUCAUGUUACAAAGUCAGGAAUGAACACCACUCCUAGGACUUCAGUGCAGUGUUUCAUCUCAGCAAUAGCUAUGCUUAAUUGUACAUGGAGAUUCAGAACAGUGACUGGUCAUGUGCACAUGGCGAGCAACAAUCUUUCCCCACCCUAACAUAGUGGAAAGAAAUGAAGUGCGUCUACUAGAAGCUGUGGCUUGUGAAUCAGGACUUGAGGCAAUUUUCAUUUUUGAAACUCCCAACUGAAACCAAAAGGUGAAAGAAAUAUUUAGACUCAGAAUACAAGAUGUAGAAAAGACCUCAGAAAUCAUCUCAACUACCUUCUUCAUUUUCAAAUUGAG